rnacentral:rRNA from 1 species
AGGAUAAACGCUGGCGGCGUGCUUCAGGCAUGCAAGUCGAACGGACCUUCGGGUCAGUGGCGGACGGGUGAGUAACACGUAAGUAACCUGCCCAGAAGUGGGGAAUAACUGGCCGAAAGGCUGGCUAAUACCGCAUGUGAUGGCUUGUCCUUGGACGGGUCAUUAAAGGAUUUAUUCGCUUCUGGAGGGGCUUGCGGUCGAUUAGCUAGUUGGUGGGGUAACGGCCUACCAAGGCGACGAUCGAUAGCUGGUCUGAGAGGACGGUCAGCCACACGGGGACUGAGAUACGGCCCCGACUCCUACGGGAGGCAGCAGCUAGGAAUCUUGGGAAUGGGCGAAAGCCUGACCCAGCAACGCCGCGUGGGCGAUGAAGGCCUUCGGGUCGUAAAGCCCUUUUGUAGGGACGAUAAUGACGGUACCUGCGAAUAAGCCACGGCUAACUACGUGCCAGCAGCCGC